AACCCAUGGUGAGGACACCGUCUUUAUAAGUCCUUAUACCUCUCCCAUGCGUCAUAUAGAGUUUUUAAGUCAAUCUAAACGAAGGAAGAGAUAUCAUUCCUCAACUU